CUGAAAUAUGCUAUAAAUUAGAACGUUUAUAAACUAACUCCGUCUUUCAACUUAGAUAUCUCAAAUCUAACGGUUCUUUCUGCUUACGCUAACUUGCGUGAUCUUUGUUCUACACACAAUUCAUAACUGUCAAAAUGUAAACAACUUUACUUAAAUAUCAAAUAUAACACUAUUUUACACUGCUUUCCUCUCUAAAAAAGGGACACGUCCUCGUGUCGGAAUUAAAAUUCAAAUAACCCAAUGUCAUUAAUUAUUCGCAUAGGGUUUUAGACGAUUAAAGUUCACCACUCUUCUAUUUCGACCAACGACCAACUGAACACGAUACGAUAAACGGAAUCAGAUAACCGUUUCACGACACGAUAAGGUCCAGACCAUGCGUGGUAUAGUUUCUUUGACUUCGUUUUCGCUGAGCAAUGCGUGUACAGCCAAACCCGAUCUUCUUUUUCAUAAGGAUUUCCGGACGUGCGCUCAUUGUAAUACUCCCGUUGUUUCUUCCGCACAACUUUCAUCCGCUGUCGAACAUCUUUAUAUGCCUUUUCUAAGUUUUCCAACUUUUCUGUUCCACAUAAAUAUUCAUCGACUUCUCACUCUCCGUUUCUCCAAACAUUAUGUCCAACGGAAGUCGCACCUCUCUUCCAAACGUAAUGAAAUAUGGGGUUUGCCGCCUUGAUUCCUGGAUACUAGAACGAUACGCCAACAUGACCAGUUGUAGACACUCAUCCCAGUUCUUUUGAUUUUCAUUCACAUACCUUGAUAACAUCGCUUCCAGCGUUUAACCAGACCAUCGGAUUGAGGGUGGUAGGGUGAUGCUCUCGUUUUAUGGAUUUGUAACAACUCGCAAAUUUCUUGAAUCAACCACACUGGUACCCUGGGUGCCAGAGGUUCUUCCAUGCUCGUAGGGGGGGGGGGGAUGAUAAUGAGGGAUACACGAGGAUUCAAGCCGGGCGGCGAUCGGGAAGAACCUCUGGAACACUUCUAUGGCUUUUACUGUUUUAA